rnacentral:rRNA from 1 species
GGGUUGUGAGGUUAAGCGACUAAGCGUACACGGUGGAUGCCCUGGCAGUCAGAGGCGAUGAAGGACGUGCUAAUCUGCGAUAAGCGCCGGUAAGGUGAUAUGAACCGUUAUAACCGACGAUUUCCGAAUGGGGAAACCCAGUGUGACUCGUCACACUAUCAUUAACUGAAUCCAUAGGUUAAUGAGGCGAACCGGGGGAACUGAAACAUCUAAGUACCCCGAGGAAAAGAAAUCAACCGAGAUUCCCCCAGUAGCGGCGAGCGAACGGGGAGGAGCCCAGAGCCUGAAUCAGCAUGUGUGUUAGUGGAAGCGUCUGGAAAGGCGCGCGAUACAGGGUGACAGCCCCGUACACAAAAGCGCAUGUGCUGUGAGCUCGAUGAGUAGGGCGGGACACGUGGUAUCCUGUCUGAAUAUGGGGGGACCAUCCUCCAAGGCUAAAUACUCCUGACUGACCGAUAGUGAACCAGUACCGUGAGGGAAAGGCGAAAAGAACCCCGGCGAGGGGAGUGAAAAAGAACCUGAAACCGUGUACGUACAAGCAGUGGGAGCACCUUCGGGUGUGACUGCGUACCUUUUGUAUAAUGGGUCAGCGACUUAUAUUCUGUAGCAAGGUUAACCGAAUAGGGGAGCCGUAGGGAAACCGAGUCUUAACCGGGCGUUAAGUUGCAGGGUAUAGACCCGAAACCCGGUGAUCUAGCCAUGGGCAGGUUGAAGGUUGGGUAACACUAACUGGAGGGCCGAACCGACUAAUGUUGAAAAAUUAGCGGAUGACCUGUGGCUGGGGGUGAAAGGCCAAUCAAACCGGGAGAUAGCUGGUUCUCCCCGAAAGCUAUUUAGGUAGCGCCUCGUGAAUUCAUCUCCGGGGGUAGAGCACUGUUUCGGCUAGGGGGCCAUCCCGGCUUACCAACCCGAUGCAAACUGCGAAUACCGGAGAAUGUUAUCACGGGAGACACACGGCGGGUGCUAACGUCCGUCGUGAAGAGGGAAACAACCCAGACCGCCAGCUAAGGUCCCAAAGUCAUGGUUAAGUGGGAAACGAUGUGGGAAGGCUCAGACAGCCAGGAUGUUGGCUUAGAAGCAGCCAUCAUUUAAAGAAAGCGUAAUAGCUCACUGGUCGAGUCGGCCUGCGCGGAAGAUGUAACGGGGCUAAACCAUGCACCGAAGCUGCGGCAGCGACACUGUGUGUUGUUGGGUAGGGGAGCGUUCUGUAAGCCUGUGAAGGUGUGCUGUGAGGC